rnacentral:rRNA from 1 species
GAUGAACGCUGACAGAAUGCUUAACACAUGCAAGUCAACUGUGGCGGACGGGUGAGUAACGCGUAAAGAACUUGCCUCACAGAUAGGGACAACAUUUGGAAACGAAUGCUAAUACCUGAUACUGUGAGAGAGCUUUGCGUCCCAUUAGCUAGUUGGAGAGGUAACGGCUCACCAAGGCGAUGAUGGGUAGCCGGCCUGGGAGGGUGAUCGGCCACAAGGGGACUGAGACACUGCCCUAACUCCUACGGGAGGCAGCAGUGGGGAAUAUUGGACAAUGGACCAGAGUCUUAUACAGCAAUUCUGUGGGAACGAUGAAGUUUUCAGAAUGUAAAGUGCUUUCAGUUGGGAAGCGGUACCAACAGAAGAAGUGACGGCUAAAUACGUGCCAGCAGCCGCGGUAAUAC